rnacentral:tmRNA from 1 species
GCCCUUCACAUCCCGGCACCGCUUGCCUAUAUCGCCCGUGCCGGGGUUCGCCGCGGCUAUGGCGAUAAAUCGUACGUACUUUCGACGCAGCGGACCCGGGGGCAGUACCCGGCGGCUCCACCAUAACCGGUCUCUCAAGGCCGGCUCUGACGGGGCCGAACUAGGAUCGACGUGUGGACGGGAUGCGUGUUUUCGCCCGGGCUGAGUAACCCGUUAAAGGCUCAAAACCACAAGUGCCAACGAUAACGAGGCGCUCGCGAUUGCUGCAUAAUCAAGGCCUAACGGCUUAGAUUAUAAGGCUUGAACGCGGUUCGGGCCGCACCGGGCAACAGAAGCGGAUUCCG